rnacentral:lncRNA from 1 species
UUUUGGCAUAAGGAUUGUUUUGAGCUGAAGGUAAUAAAGAAGCAGAUGCAGGAAAGCUCUCUGCUCUCCGUCUAUUUGCCUAACAGGGCAUAAAUUUACAAAGGCAAAAGGUAUCCCUCUACUCCUGCCUACUACCAGGGGUCUGUUACAACUAAGGACUCAUGAAGGUGGAGGAAAAAAAAUGUUUUUUCUCCCUUAUAGUUCUUCUGCACAAGAUGGACCUCAGAGACAGUUUGUGUUUGACUGUGCUUUCCCCUUCAGAAGUUGAGCUGGGACACUGGCUCAAUUAGUGUUGGUUUCAGAAUUGGAAUGAAGAAUGAAAAGUCUCUUCUCUUCUUAGGAAAUAAUUUUUCCUUUGUGCAGAAAUGUAGAAAUGAGCACAUUCAUACCAAGAUUAAAAGUGCAACCCCAAGGCAAGGGACAAUGGUGAUGAGUGAAUAACGGGAAGAGAUGCAGUAAGGGAAGAGUGCUUUCAAAAAGAAUGGUGCCAAGAACAGUGGAAGAGGGAACUUUUGUACUUUUAUGAAAGUAAUUACCAUUCAUCAAACUCCUCACAGUGGCAGACAAAUGAAUUUAAUAAUGAAUUUAAUAGUUAUAAACUCACUUUUAUGAAUCUAUCAAAUACAUUAUAUCACAUAACCUUUCUACUCUAUCUUAUAAUAAUACAGUGCCUUUUUCUGUGUUUAAAAAGUUUGUAUCUUAGCAAGAUUCAUGAAGAAGCAAUUCUAUAUCUGUUUUAAAAUUUAUGUUGUUCUGUUGAACACUGUUAUAAAAUAAAACUUGUGUUAUACCUGUAAAUUAUUGUAUUAAAGCAGUACAGGAGAGUGAUCAAGGCCAAUAGCUUUGGAGACAGUUCUUGGUCCCAGCUCUAACAUUAACUAGCUGUGUGAUCCUGAGCAAUUGUCUUACACCUCUGCUGCUCAGUUUUCUCACUUAUUAAAUGCAAAUAAUAACGUUACUUUAUAAAUUUAUAGAUUGAGAGUUUUAAAUGUGUGCAAGCAUAUUAAUGAUAUCAAUAAAUUGCCUUUGAUUAUUAUUAUGAAAAUAAAUAAUAAAUGGUCAAUAAAUUGCCAUUGAUUAUUAUUGUGAAAAUAAAUAUUAAUAAAUGAUCAAUAAAUUGCCAUUGAUUAUUAUUAUGAAAACAAAUUAAGGUUGAAAAGUUUGGUACAGCAUUUAAAUUUUCACUAUUAAACAAAGAGAAGUGAAAACAAGUGAAUAAAAUUAAGAUAUUAGCCCAUUAUUACUUGUUGCACUCUGUUAAGUACUAUGAGGGAUAAAAGAAUGCAAAAGAGGCAUAAGGAAUGAUCUUCAAUAAUAACUGUAAUGAUUGUGAAUAUAACUUAUUGAGAACAUAUUAUGCUUUAAAUGGCCAAGAAAACAAAAUGAAAACGUGAAAUAAUUUGAAAAAAAUAAUAUAUUUGUUCUGUGGUUCAAUGAGA